rnacentral:rRNA from 1 species
CCUACGGGUGGCAGCAGUGAGGAAUAUUGGUCAAUGGGCGUAAGCCUGAACCAGCCAAGUCGCGUGAGGGAUGAAGGUUCUAUGGAUCGUAAACCUCUUUUAUAAGGGAAUAAAGUGUGGGACGUGUCCUAUUUUGUAUGUACCUUAUGAAUAGGGAUCGGCUAACUCCGUGCCAGCAGCCGCGGUAAUACGGAGGAUCCGAGCGUUAUCCGGAUUUAUUGGGUUUAAAGGGUGCGUAGGCGGCCUUUUAAGUCAGCGGUGAAAGUCUUGGGCUCAACCAUAGAAUUGCCGUUGAAACUGGGGGGCUUGAGUAUGUUAGAGGCAGGCAGAAUGCGUGGUGUAGCGGUGAAAUGCUGAGAGAUCACGCAGAACCCCGAUUGCGAAGGCAGCCUGCCAAGCCAUGACUGACGCUGAUGCGCGAAAGCGUGGGGAUCAAACAGGAUUAGAUACCCUGGUAGUC